AGCGAACGCUGGCGGCAGGCCUAACACAUGCAAGUCGAACGGAUCCUUCGGGAUUAGUGGCGGACGGGUGAGUAACACGUGGGAACGUGCCCUUUGGUUCGGAACAACUCAGGGAAACUUGAGCUAAUACCGGAUGUGCCCUUCGGGGGAAAGAUUUAUCGCCAUUGGAGCGGCCCGCGUCUGAUUAGCUAGUUGGUGAGGUAACGGCCCACCAAGGCGACGAUCAGUAGCUGGUCUGAGAGGAUGAUCAGCCACACUGGGACUGAGACACGGCCCAGACUCCUGGGGGGGGAGGGAGGGGGGAAUCUGGGGAAUGGGGAAAAAGCCGGACGAAGCCUGGCGGGGAAAAUGAUGAAGGUCUGAGGAUUGAAAAUUUCUUUGGGCGGGGACGAUAAGGACGGUCCCCGAAGAAAAAGCGCCGGCUAACUUCGUG
rnacentral:rRNA from 1 species